rnacentral:pre_miRNA from 1 species
ACUCCCUGACCACCACAAGCUUACAGUCUAGAGGGGCUUACUGAUUCCCAAGUCUGUGCUCUAUCCACUAGACCGUGCUGCUUCUGCUUGUAUCCCAAAGAAGUCUCUAGACUGUGAGCUCGUUGUGGGCAGGGUUU